GAUGAACGCUGGCGGUAUGCUUAACACAUGCAAGUCGAACGGACUCUUCGGAGUUAGUGGCGGACGGGUGAGUAACGCGUGAGAAUCUGGCUUUGGGUUCGGGACAACCACUGGAAACGGUGGCUAAUACCGGAUGUGCCGAGAGGUAAAAGAGAAAUUGCCUGAAGAUGAGCUCGCGUCUGAUUAGCUAGUUGGUGAGGUAAAGGCUCACCAAGGCAGCGAUCAGUAGCUGGUCUGAGAGGAUGACCAGCCACACUGGGACUGAGAUACGGCCCAGACUCCUACGGGAGGCAGCAGUGGGGAAUUUUCCGCAAUGGGCGAAAGCCUGACGGAGCAGUACCGCGUGAGGGAAGAAGGCUCUUGGGUUGUAAACCUCUUUUCUUAGGGAAGAACAAAAUGACGGUACCUAAGGAAUCAGCAUCGGCUAACUCCGUG
rnacentral:rRNA from 1 species